AUCUUCAAACCCUGGGUAAUUUGAGGUUGCUUGAAUAUUGCACGAACCAACAAAGUUGUAAAUAGUUCAAUAAAGGCCUUGUGACGAUAGGCCCUGUUUUUUAUAAUUAGUUGAAAUAAGAUCGGUUAUAAUAAGAAUGUUAAAAAUAAGAAUUUACCUUAAUCA